rnacentral:rRNA from 1 species
CAGUUUGGAUUGGAGUCUGCAACUCGACUCCAUGAAGCUGGAUUCGCUAGUAAUCGCGCAUCAGCCAUGGCGCGGUGAAUACGUUCCCGGGCCUUGUACACACCGCCCGUCAAGCCAUGGGAGUCGGGAGUGCCUGAAGUUCGUGACCGUCACAGGAGCGACCUAAGGCAAGACCGAUGACUGGGGCUAAGUCGUAACAAGGUAGC